AAGGACUGUGCUCCCAAUCCGCUUACGCUCAAGGAAGAACUGGAAGGCCCAGAACCAGCCUGCUGUCAGGAUCAGAACAAAAGAGGAGGACUGCAUAUGUAUGGACCCACUCCAGAUGGCACGGGGACGGGGGGAGUAGGAAAAGUGGCAUGAGACCAGGCCCACAGAGUAUGGCUGUGCAAGUUGUUCACUCUACAAGGGCACCUGGCCGCUCUCUCAUUCCUGUUGAGGGCUCUCUGGUGGAGCCUCUGUCUCACAGGUCACCUGCAGGCCAACACUCCCAGAAGCAGCUAGCACCAUGGUUGACCUCGUCCAGGUCCAGGGAAGGCCUCCCUCUCCAGGACUCCUUUAGAUUUCCCCAGCAUCCAGACCUCACCUGCCUAAGUGCUGUUGCCCUGGAAGCCACAGUGAGCACGAGCUCCAUCUUGCACCUUUACCAGCCAAUGGGGGUAAAGACAUUAGCUGAAAUACUUCUAAGGGGCCAGGCGUGGUGACUCAUGCUUGUAAUUCCAAGCACUUUGGGAGGCUGAGGCAGGUGGAUCACCUGAAGCCAGGAGUUCAAGAGCAGCCUGGCCAACAUGGCGAAACCCUGUCUCUACUAAAAAUACAAAAUUUAGCCAGGCAUGGUGGCGGGAGCCUGUAAUCUCAGCUCCUAGGGAGGCUGAGCCAGAAGAAUCGCUUAAACCUGGAAGCUGGAGGUUGCAGUGAGCCAAGAUCACACCACCACACUCCAGCCUGGGUGACAGAGCAAGACUCCAU
rnacentral:lncRNA from 1 species